rnacentral:rRNA from 1 species
UGGGGAUUAUUGGGCAAUGGGCGAAAGCCUGACCCAGCAACGCCGCGUGAGUGAUGAAGUCCUUCGGGUUGUAAAACUCUUUGGACAGGGACGAAGAAAGUGACGGUACCUGUAGAACAAGCCACGGCUAACUACGUGCCAGCAGCCGCGGUAAUACGUAGGUGGCAAGCGGUGUCCGGAAUUAUUGGGCAUAAAGCGCGCGCAGGUGGUUUAGAAAGUCUGAUGUGAAAGCCCACGGCUCAACCGUGGAGGGUCAUUGGAAACUAAUAAACUUGAGUUCAGGAGAGAAAAGUGGCAUUCCUAGUGUUGCGGUGACAUGCGUAAGGAUUAGGAGGAACACCGGUGGCGAAAGCAACUUUCUGGCCAUACUCUGACGCUGAGGUACGAAAGCGUGUGUAGCAAACAGG